GCCCGCGCGGCCGGGCCGGGAAAGGAGCGGGGGCAAGUCCGCAGGAGGAAGCUGAUGAAAUCCUGGCCAACUCGCAGUGAGCUCAUCCCGCCCGGGCGCCUCCGGAAGCCACGGGGCCGCCCGGCCUCCGCCUGGCCCGAGCGAUAAAGCUCUCGUGCCGAACCAGGGCGGGAAGUCCUUCCUGAAGUCUGCCCUGCGUGGGGCCUGCUGCCAGAAGCCUGGGCCGGAGGGGAGGGGCGAGGACGAAGUAGCGAACCGUCCCCUGGCUGUCUUAGAAGGAUGAAAAGUGAAUUCUGAGCCUGGCUGUGGGAGCUGCGAAAUCUGCUUGCCCAGAAUGGCAGACAAGAUCUUGGAGACGAGACGGUUUUAGGUCUGCAGUCAACCAGCUCUAUUUUGUCUCACCAGCACUUCACAUCCGGCUUACUACCUCCGGGCACUAUUCUAAGUAUGUUACAAAUACGAACUCAUUUUAUCUUCACAAUAUUUUUGGUCCUGCCUGUGCAGAUCCCUUUUGGACAGUGAGGGAAACUGAGGCACAGAGCGGAGAAGCUGCUUGCUCAAGGUCAUCAUUUGAACCCAUGUCGGAGUUAUCGUUCCUCUGUGCUGUGAGCCCGUGGGAGAGGCAUUAACACUCAAAAUACGAAACUGCACAGAGUCAAGAAAACACACUCGUGGACGGCCUGCGGACCACCAGUUUGAGACCCCAGCCUCAACAUGAUCAUCUGUGCAAAUAGACACGAACUGUCCUCCUCCCAGAAGUAGACCUGGGCAUCCUGACCCCAUGAACACAGGGACUUGCUGUCUCUCCCCAAACUGGAUUCAGGCAUCAUGGCUUUUGAACACAGGGCUGAUGAUCCUUCCCAGAAGAGAAUGCAGGCAUCUUGGCCCCAUAAAAAUAGGGGUCCUGGGCCGGGCUCAGUGGCUCACGGCCUGUAAUCCCAGAACUUUGGGAGGCCUAGGCCGGUGGAUCACCUGGGGUCAGGAGUUCGAGACCAGCCUGGCCAACAUGGCGAAACCCUGUCUCUAUUAAAAAUACAAAAAUUAGCCGGGCGUGGUGGUGCACACCUGUAGUCCUAGCUACUCAGGAGGCUGAGGGAGGAGAAUCGCUUGAACCUGAGAGGCAUAGGUUGCAGUGAGCCAAGAUCGCACCACUGCACUCAAGCAUGGGUGACAGGGCAAGCAAGACACCAUCUCAAAAAAAAAAAAAAAAAGUAAAAAAAAAAAAAAAAAAAAUUAGCCAGGCAUGGUGGCACAUGCCUGUAGUCCCAGCUACUCGGGAGGCUGAGGCAGGAGAAUCGCUUGAACCGGGAGGAGGCUGAGGCAGGAGAAUUGCUUGAACUGGAAGGAGGCUGAGGCAGGAGAAUUGGGAGGCAUAGGUCGCAGUAAGCCGAGAUCAUGCCACUCUGCACUCCAGCCUGGGUGACAGAGUGAGACUGCGUGUCAAAAAAAAAAAAAAAAAAAAAAUAGGGGUCCAGGCCGGGUCCAGUGGUUCAUGCCUGUAAUCCCAGUACUUUGGGAGGCUGAGGUGGGAGGAUCACUUGAGCCCAGGAGUUUAAGACCAGCCUGGGCAAAAUGGUGAAACCUCAUUUUUACUAAAAAUACAAAAAUUAGCUGGGCGUGGUGGCACAGGCCUGUAGUCCCAGCUACUCAGGAGGCUGAGGCAGGAGGAUCACCAGAGCCUGGGAAGCGGAGGUUGCAGUGAGCCAAGAUCACACCGCUGCAUUCAAGCGUGGGUGACAGAGUGAGACCCUGUUCUCAUAAAAGAGACGGAGGGGUCCUUAGCUAGAGGUUUCCUUGCUUGGAUUCUCAGAGAGUCAACGGACUCCCACACUGGUAAUAGUAAUGACAAGUAACAUAUAUUAAACAUCCAUCAUCCCCAG